CAUACAAUCAUAUAGCAAUUCACAGUCAACAAGCAGAUCAAACAGAUCACAUAACAUAUCAUCAUCCUAACCAGGAUACCGACCUAGCAGGUCACUAGCAUAACAUCUCCCUAUCUCUCAAGAAACCGAUCUCAAUCAGGUCUCUAACAUAUACCAUCCUAUCUCUCAGGAUGCAAACAUAUCAAAGCAGUAACAUAACAACAACUACCCGGAUCUCAAUCUGAUAAGGGCCUGCCUUGGUGCCUUAGACCCUGUUGAUAUAGUGCGCAUAACUCACCUCGAACCUGUCGGCUGAAAGGAUAAGAUCCCGCUGCUCCAAACUCCGACACGAACUCCUCCACUGAACACCAAAACACUCAACUCAAAACAUUAACCAACAAUUGCCAAAAUGCCCCUGGAAACCACUGGUCAACCCUUGGUCAAAGACAAGGUCAAAGUCAACCCCUGACUGACUCUACUCGCCUAGUCAACCCGAUGACUCGCCGAGUCCCCAUACACAGAACUUCCUUAAAUCCGCAACCUAACUCGUCGAGUCACCCCAAGACUCGUUGAGUCCAACAACUCUGAGUCCACUCGCCUACAACUCACCGAUAGUCAUCCCUUGACUUGCCAAUUCUCGACUCAACCAGAAAAUAUUGGGACUCUUCGACAAGACUCGCCGAGUCUAAGGCUAUCUUCAACCUACUCGCCGAGUUGUUCAUACAACUCGCCGAGUUCCAGGCCAUCUUCAUCCAACUCGCCGAGUUGUUCUUCCAACUCGUCGAGUUCCAGCUCAUCUUCAAGCAACUCGUCGAGUCCACCCAUGUGACUCGCCGAGUACCACCGGUCUGAAUCCAUACAGAAGCACUCCAGACCAUGCAAUUGAUCCAAAACAUAGAUCUAGCCUCCUACAACCCAUCCAUCACGUAAAGUGGCAAACUUUACGUGAAUCCAAAGAGAUCUAUGCAUUUUGCACAUUAGGGCUAGGGUUUGGGACAUGAUAGCUUCACCCAACACUCAACACAAGGACUUUAUGCACAUUUGGACCAUCACCACUCCAGAUCUGAGGUAGCAACCUCAGAUCUAACUUCCAAACUCCACAACAUACCAAGAUAAGCUCCCCAGAAACCCCAAAAUGGUGAAUCUGUAAGAGUAACAGCCCAAGGACGAGAUAUUAACUCAAAAGAACGCCCCGACUGCAAUAGAACUCGAAUCCAAGCAAAGCCCCUUGCUCCAAGCCUCCUACCCUUCAAGAUUUCCUCAACAAUUGUUCUCCAAGCUCCCAAAUUCAACUCGAUCCACUCACAUACGAAGUUUAGGGUUUCUGGACUUGACGAUGAGUAAAGAGGCUGGGGGAAUGGAUGUUAUGUUCUUUAUAUAGGGCUCAACCCCGAGAAUUAGGGUUUUCUCCACUCAGCGCCUACUCGCCGAGUCCAUCUUACUGACUCGCCGAGUCGGCUACUUAACACGCGACCAAGUCGCGACUCUACUCGCCGAGUCCACCCAUGGACUCGCCGAGUCGCUCUUUCCCAAUUUACUCUUUUAGCCCUUCAACUCUACUCUUGAUAUUUCGGGAUGUUACAAUUCUCCCCCACUUAAAUUAGGCUUCUUCCUCGAAGCCUACGACAUCUCAACUCCAAAAUACUCCCACGACGCGCCACCUGGCCCUAACCGGACCAGGUUCCUCAAGGCAUAACCAUCAAAACUCGAACUCAUUUCCUCUUUCCUUGCGGUGUCCUGACCACCGUCUCAAACCGGGCACCGACUGUACCCUCUGAUAAUCACACUUAACAAUCAAGAAUUACCCAGGAUGCAUCACUGCACCAAAUCACAACCAUCACUCGACCCAUAUGAGCUAGAAAACCAUGAACCAUCAGAUCCCGAUCCGAAUCCAACUCUAUCGAUUCCAUGCUGACGGAAAGACCCAUUCUUCAAUCUCAGAGCAACUCCCACGAGUUCUCCUCUUGCAAUCACAUACACAUGCUGAACUAGCUCUAGCACCCUCAGGUUGGGAAACCCGAUACACUGAUGAUAUCCUCAAACAUCCCCCAGGAUGAACCACUAAUACAUAACCAAUUCCUGAUCAGAAUCGCACUGAGAGUCCAAGACUCUCUCCCUGCAUCCCUUCGGAGCCUCUUGGCUCUACACCUGCGGAAUUCCCUCCGCGACCUCAGCAGACAUCCCAAACCGGAUGUGCUUCUAUUCCACUGCCGCAAACACGCUGCUCAAUAACCAUACUCGAAUUACUCUAAUCAUAACUCUGGUCUACCGCUUUCACUUCCGUGAACUUGCACUCCCUCUCGGAGUUACACUCCUCUCUCGUUCCUUACCAAGGAAAUCCACUUGGCUGCUUUGUCACAACAACAAGUGCCACGGUGCUCACCCAACGUUGCACCACCCGUUUAUAGCAUAACCGCUAUCCACGCAACACACAUGCUCUGAAUUUGCUCGCAAGGUGUCUCGAGUCCAUGCACCAUCUCCACUAAUCAAGAUCAAUACCCGGGGCCAGACCUCCUGAUGCUAACACAUCGCAACAUACUCAAUCCAUCUCCUCAACCGGACUAGCAAUACAUGCAGAAUCUUCAGCAUGACUGGACCGCCUCACCAGGCCUUCAGCCAAUCUGGACCACUCUCAGAACCUUCAGCCAAUCUGGACCGCUCUUAGUGCCUUCAAUUUGGCUAGACCGUUCUCCGAGCCUUCGGCCUGACUAGUACGCCUACCGGCCUUCAGUCUAUCCGGACCGCUCAACUAGCAUUCAUCAUUCCGAGCUAUCUCUCCCGGAAAUCCUCCCAUGCAUACUGUUCUAACCCUUUAAGCCUUUAAGGGUUCCGAACUCUGUCUCAAACGCACAUGCUCGAUCCUGGCCUGCUCCCAGGUCGUCCACAAUCGAAUUCCCUAGGUCAGUAUCCCGCCCCGCAUGCCCGACACUUGCUCCUAUCAGCCUAUACUCUGGGCUGACAGAACACUGCUGAAUCCCAAUACCUAAGCACCCACAAAUACUCAUCGAUCUCCCGGAGAAUUCUCCAAUUCUCCCCCACUUGUAGCACUGAUUAACAACCACCGGUCGCCAUCACCGACCUCCCAGAACAACUCUGCACAAAGAAAACACUUACACGCGGACUGCUUCCCACAAGCAUAAACAACCUUAACGAGAUCUCACAUCAACACUAUUUAACCCGCUCGAAAGAAACUCAAUCUGCAUCUAACCACUCUUCAGAAAGCAGAUGCUACCCGGCCUUGAAACCAAUGCCAGGUUCCCACUAAUAACUCUCAUGGAUGAUAACCAACGAAAUUCCCACAACAACAACCCAUAACCAACCCAGAACUCUCAAAACGACGAAUACCGCAUCAAAAACCACACAAAGAUACCAGCACAUAAACAAAACACCACAAUAAUCACAAGAUAUCAAUAAAGAAACAUACCAGCAGCUGCAUCUGGCAUUGCUCUGACCUCCUCUACCGCAAGCUAAUAAGCACGACCCUGAGCCCUUGGGGCUCCGCUCUACCCUGACCUCCACCUGAAAUCCUCAAAGUGGCCGGUGCUGGAGCCUGCACCAGUCUCGCAGCAAGCUGUGGACAGUUGACCCUCAAAUGUCCAACCUGAUGACAAUGAUAACAAAUCUUCAAAUCCCGAACCGGCACUGACUGCCGACAAUCCCUCGCAUAGUGCCCCUCCUUUCCGCACUUGCGGCAUGCACCACCGGACCUACAAACUCGGUUGUGACCCCUCCCACACUUCCCACAAGUGUGGCUGCUCAGAUCCCCCACUCUAACAUCAAUGGUCUUGGACCGUUUCGGUGCCGACUGCGACUACACCGGAGCCUGCCUCAGCUCACGCAACUGUAACUCAAUCUCUAACUCACGACGCCUAGCGGCCUCUUGCAACUCCAACAAGGUCUCGCACCUCUGGGUAGACAGAAACUGUCUGAUAUCCCUCUUGAGCAUGCUCAGAUAUCGAGACAUCUGAGCCUGCUCCGAAGCGAACUCUGGGGAAAACAUCGCCCUCUCAGUGAACAUCCUGGUGAUCUCAGUCACCGACUCCGAACCCUGCUUCAGCUCAAGGAACUCCUGAGCCAAUCUCUGCCUCUCAACUUGCGGAACAUAACGAGUACUGAACAUCUCCCUGAACUGAUCCCAUGAAACCGAAGCCCUCUGCGCAUCCGAAUAUGACCCCGUGGUCAAUCUCCACCAAUCCUUCACCCCGAGCCUCAACAGGUUCAGAGCACACCUCACCCUCUGAUCAGCAGGGCAUGAACACGUGAAGAAACACCCGUCCACGUCCGAUAACCACCUCAUAGCAACAAUCGGGUCCUGAACUCCAUCAAAGGUAAGAGGCUUCAUAUUGUCGAAGUCCCGAUACUGAAAGCCCCGACCAACUCCUCCCCCUGCCGAGUCACCCUGNGCAGCCGUCUCUGUGAGAGCCGCAUAGCGCUCAUCAAAAUACUCAACCAUGGCGGUUUUGAUCGACCCAAACAGCUCCGGGAACUCAGCCCAGAACAACUCAACAAUCUCAUCACGCAGGAUCUCACGAAUCCUCGCAUCCAACUCACACGUGCUCAUCUGACCGAUAACCUCGGGCGGUACUGACCCGCCCAGAUCUCCCUCUCCUGAUCCGGAUCCACUCUCAUCAUGCCUCAAAAUCUCCAUACUGACAAACACCACACAAAAUCUCAGACUCUUCCCACUAACCUGGGAUCCAACUCUCUCAACCGAACCCUAGAGAUCAUGGUUUCCCUAAUACGCGUAUGGGUCAUGUGCUUUCAGUAGUACGGGCCCAUACUACCUUCCACACCUACCCAUAUUUGUAUGAAGUACUACCACAACACCCUAGUGAAAACAUGCAUAACAGCUCUCAACCCUCACCACUAGAGGAACACUGAAAAUCUCCCACAAGGAAACCCUAGGCUACAGGCAUCACAAAUCAGGCAACAUUAUCAUGAAAUCCUGAAGAUCCCUAGCCUAACACUAGCAUGUUGUUCUAUCAAAGCUCAAAAACAAAUAACAUGCAUGGUAUUUUGGGGUUACUUACUGGCUCCGGCUGAUCGUACCUCCGCGUCCUCCUUUACUCAUUUUGAAAACCAUUUUAAAUACUCUUUUGAAAACUCUCCUCGAUUUGAGACUGGAGUCACACGAGUGUUUCUCCAAUUCACUCAAACCAAGGCUCUGAUACCAACUUGUAACGACCGAAAAAUACAACCAAUUUUAAAUUUUUCAAAAACAACUCGAUUCCAUUAAAUCUUUACAAAAAGGUUUUCAAUACAAAACAUUUAACGUAUUCCCAGAAUCACAUUACUACAAAAUCAUGAGGAGCGGUACGAUCACGCCUUCGCCUUGCCACGGUCUCCUGAAGAACCUGAAAAACAUAAAACCACAACUGUAAGCCCGAAAGCUUAGUGAGAUAUCCCCAAAAUACCAACCACAUAUACCAUACACGCAUAACAUGCCACAACAUAUCUGAUCACAGAACAGCCAUGCACUUCGGGUCUACUGUGUGACUGGUCCGCCGCACCGGCCUACAGUCCACCUGGUCCACCCUCUGAGUCUAUCCACAUACAUCGAGUCUACAGUGUGAUUGGUCCGCCCGCUCCCGGGCCUUCAAUCCACCUGGUCCACUCUCUGAGUCUACAGUAUGACUGGUCCGCCCGCACCGGGCCUUCAGUCUGUCUGGUCCACUCUCCGAGCCUUCGGCACGUCUGGUCCGCCCUUUCGGGCCUACAGCCUAUCCGGACCGCUCGCUGGGCCUUCGGGACAACCGGUCCGCCCUGGGUAUCUUGGCCUACAGCACAAAGCAGGACCCGCCUCAACCCAACUCCAGUCCAAACAACCAUGUGCACAUAUACAUACAAUCAUAUAGCAAUUCACAGUCAACAAGCAGAUCAAACAGAUCACAUAACAUAUCAUCAUCCUAACCAGGAUACCGACCUAACAGGUCACUAGCAUAGCAUCUCCCUAUCUGUCAAGAUACCGAUCUCAAUCAGGUCUCUAACAUAUACCAUCCUAGCUCUCAGGAUGCAAACAUAUCAAAGCAGUAACAUAAAAACAACUACCCGGAUCUCAAUCCGAUAAGGGCCGGCCUUGGUGCCUUAGACCCUGUUGAUAUAGUGAGGAUAACUCACCUCGAAACUGCCGACUGAACAGAUAACCCAAGCUGCUCCGAUCACUGAUACGAUCUCCACCACUAGACAACCACCAAUGCACUGAACUCAAAACAAUAAUCAACAAUUACCAAAAUGCCCCUGGAAACCACUGGUCAACCCUUGGUCAAAGACAAGGUCAAAGUCAACCCCUGACUGACUCUACUCGCCGAGUCAACCCGAUGACUCGCCGAGUCCCCAUACUCAGAAC
rnacentral:lncRNA from 1 species